AUAAAAAAUUUAGUACUUUUUCAGACAUAAAUUUAGUAUUUUUUCAAACAUUGCUCCGGUUGAAGUAGGUGUUGGAAUUAAGUUUUACAAUAAUUUAAUUAGAAUGAGUAAAUUUUUGGAGUAAUAAUGAACUAAUGAAGUAAAUGAACCUUAGCAGAAAUGGUAAUUAGUUAGAAUAUUUAAGAAUUAUAUUUGUUUUGUUGUUUUGAUUGAUAUGAGUUUAGAGAAGUUGUUCUUAUAGAGUGAUAGUUGAGAAAAGUGUGUUUAAUUUGUAUCUCACCAUAUUGUGACAGAGGCAGGGAAAAAAACUUGUGUUUGGGUUACAGAGAGGGAUAUAGAUUCUGUAUCCCAGACCUAAACUUUUUAAUGAAUUUUUAUUUUUGAGCA
rnacentral:lncRNA from 1 species